AGAGUUUGAUCCUGGCUCAGGAUGAACGCUGGCGGCGUGCCUAACACAUGCAAGUCGAGCGAAGCACUUUGCUCUGAUUUCUUCGGAUUGAAGAGUGAUUUGACUGAGCGGCGGACGGGUGAGUAACGCGUGGGUAACCUGCCUCACACAGGGGGAUAACAGUUAGAAAUGACUGCUAAUACCGCAUAAGCGCACAGGGCCGCAUGGCCCGGUGUGAAAAGCUCCGGUGGUGUGAGAUGGGCCCGCGUCUGAUUAGUUAGUUGGCGGGGUAACGGCCCACCAAGACGACGAUCAGUAGCCGACCUGAGAGGGUGACCGGCCACAUUGGGACUGAGACACGGCCCAAACUCCUACGGGAGGCAGCAGUGGGGAAUAUUGCACAAUGGGGGAAACCCUGAUGCAGCGACGCCGCGUGAGCGAAGAAGUAUUUCGGUAUGUAAAGCUCUAUCAGCAGGGAAGAAAUUGACGGUACCUGACUAAGAAGCACCGG
rnacentral:rRNA from 1 species